CAGAUUAGCAUGGAUCCUCCAUAAGAAUGACAUGCAAAUUUGUAAAGCAUUCCAUAUUUUU
rnacentral:snRNA from 1 species